GACGAACGCUGGCGGCGUGCCUAAUACAUGCAAGUAGAACGCACAGGUUAUACCGUAGCUUGCUACACCAUAAACUGUGAGUUGCGAACGGGGGAGUAACGCGUCGGUAACCUGCCUGGUAGCGUGGGAUAACUAUUGGAAACGAUAGCUAAUACCGCAUAAUAUUGAUUAUUGCAUGAUAAUUGAUUGAAAGAUGCUAUUGCAUCACUACCAGAUGGACCUGCGUUGUAUUAGCUAGUAGGCGAGGUAACGGCUCACCUAGGCGACGAAACAUAGCCGAACUGCGAGGGUGAGCAGCCAGACUGGGAGUGAGACACGGCCCAGACUCAUAGAGGAGGCACCAGGAGGGAAACUGCAGCAAUGGACGAAAGUCAGAGCAAGCAAGGCCGCGUGAGUGAAGAGCAUCUUCGGAUGGGAGAGCUCUGUUGUAAGAGAGGAACGCGUGUGCGCCUGGAAAGUACAGAGUGUGACGGUAUCUUACCAGGAAGCAACGGCUAACUACGUG
rnacentral:rRNA from 1 species